UGCGUUAUCCCCUACGCAACCACAGCUCGCCCCGAACUGUUAAUGUUUUACGUUAAUUUCUCAGAACCCAAACAGCUUCAUUUGUUUAGUGUUGCAGUUCACUUCUGUUUCUGAUUAUCUGUCUACUGUUGAAAUUCACACUUCAGAAUAAGGAAGAGCUGUUUCCAUAGUUACGACAGUGCAGCACACUAAUAAGCAUUAGUGUUCAUGAAAAUCAUUGACGAUUUGUUUUCCUUUCACUCUGAAGAUCAAGAUUCAACCUGUGGAAAUCAUCAUUAUGAUGAGCUGCAGUCCAACCUGACCUAUGCUACUGUCAACCUUCCUGAAACCUCUCCGAAGACAAAGGUCAAACGGGACACAGACACUGUGACUUAUUCUACUGUCAGGACUAAAGAGAAGACAGAGGUGGACUGAUGUCAGCGACUUCUGGAGCUACUUCACUGAACCCAAAACACCGAAUCCAAAACACCGAAUCCAAAACACCGAAUCCAAAACACCGAAUCCAAAAGACUGAAACCAAAACACCGAGCCCAACUGCAGUAUUUGACCACUACAUCACUGUUUCUAUUAUAAUUAUUAUUAAAAAAACAAAACUGGUAACAAUAAGGUUACAUUUGUUUUAUAUAAGGUCAGAUUUUAUAUAUAAAUUCAGUAUAACAAACUGACUGCAGCUCUUUAGCAUUAGCAUGCAUCACAGUUCCUCUUUGACUUUUUAUGCAAAGGAUGUUACAGGUUGUGCAAAAGGAGGAAACAAUACUUUAUAAAUUAUAAAAAUAAAAGUUAAUUAAUUGCCUCGUUUAUGUUCUUGACAAUCAGUAGCUGUAGCUAAAAGUUGGUUCAUCUUAGUUGAUCAAAAUGUUACAAAGUGAAGCAGUUAAAUGUAAUUUAAAUGUUAAUUUUUGACUAAAGUUUGUAAAGUUCCUUUUCUUUGUGGAACAUACAAGU